rnacentral:ncRNA from 2 species
GGUCAUGAGUAUCAGCGUGAAGCCCCGGCUUGCUGAUCGGCAACCCUCCAUCCGCGGUGGGGUGCUCCGGGUGAUGACCGGGUCGAGGAACGCACAUCGCAUUCCUUGGCAAGCGCGGGUC